GCAGUCGAGCGGACCGACGGGAGCUUGCUCCCUUAGGUCAGCGGCGGACGGGUGAGUAACACGUGGGUAACCUGCCUGUAAGACUGGGAUAACUCCGGGAAACCGGGGCUAAUACCGGAUGCUUGAUUGAACCGCAUGGUUCAAUCAUAAAAGGCGGCUUCGGCUGCCGUUUACAGAUGGACCCGCGGCGCAUUAGCUAGUUGGUGAGGUAAUGGCUCACCAAGGCGACGAUGCGUAGCCGACCUGAGAGGGUGAUCGGCCACACUGGGACUGAGACACGGCCCAGACUCCUACGGGAGGCAGCAGUAGGGAAUCUUCCGCAAUGGACGAAAGUCUGACGGAGCAACGCCGCGUGAGUGAUGAAGGUUUUCGGAUCGUAAAGCUCUGUUGUUAGGGAAGAACAAGUACCGUUCGAAUAGGGCGGUACCUUGACGGUACCUAACCAGAAAGCCACGGCUAACUACGUGCCAGCAGCCGCGGUAAUACGUA
rnacentral:rRNA from 1 species